CAUCAGUAAAUGAGAGCGUUCUGCACGUGAUAUUAACACCAGAUCCUUUGAAUGGUGCCAGAAUGUAAUGUUUCUACAGCACGCGCUGUCACCUCGCAUAACCCAUGUCUGUAAACUACAUUACCUUAAAGUGCAUUUUCAUAGACAAAGAACGUUUAUAACUUCCGAUCCCAGUAAACAAAACUCAUAAUCAACCUGGCCGUCAGUAUAGUUAAAUCAUGUGUCCAGUUAUGAAGAUCAGAAUGCAUUGUUUCGUCACUUGCGUAGCCUUGCUUUUAACAAUAUUUCGGUCGUAAUUCCAAUAAUGUUUGAAGAGUUUCGACCAGCUUAGGUUAGUCCUAAAUACAGUUAAUAAAAGUAACAAUAAUAACUUUUUUUUUAGUUUGUGUGCUGUACCUAUCACGGGUAUAGUAAACCUGGUAGUAAUACAACAAACCAAGCGUGAUCUACACAUGUUACGCCAUCUAUCGAAAAAUACCUAAUUCAAAGAGAAAUAUAUCUUUCAUAUCUGUCGAAAACGUUGUCGUAAAACCCCGAAAAUAUAUGACAAAAUAGAAGGAGAAGCUGGAAAGAGGGUUGUAGUGUUGACAAACUUUCAAAAUGACCUUCGUAAUACACCAUGAAAGUUUAAUAAUUAAUCAGAAUGUUACUGUUAUAUUUACAUAUUUUAGUCACGUAGUGAUCUUACAUCGGCUGUAACUCCAUGUUUUUAAAUAUAGAAUAUGUACAUAUCUCUUUAUGAUGUAAAUAAAAGUUAUCAUUAUU